rnacentral:rRNA from 1 species
AGCGAACGCUGGCGGCAGGCCUAACACAUGCAAGUCGAACGAACUCUUCGGAGUUAGUGGCGGACGGGUGAGUAACACGUGGGAACGUGCCUUUUGGUUCGGAAUCACUCAGGGAAACUUGUGCUAAUACCGAAUGUGCCCUUCGGGGGAAAGAUUUAUCGCCAUUAGAGCGGCCCGCGUCUGAUUAGCUAGUUGGUGAGGUAACGGCUCACCAAGGCGACGAUCAGUAGCUGGUCUGGGAGGAUGACCAUCCACACUGGGACUGGGCCACGGCCCAGACGCGAAGGAGGAGCAGGGGAGGGUGAACUAUGGGAUGGGGCGAAAUCCAGACACGCCCAGGCCGGGAGAAAGAAAAGGGUGUUGGAUUUUGAAAUUUCUUGCCCCGGGGAGUGAAAGAGGGGAACCGGGAAAGAAAGCCCGGCUAAACCCGUG